AGCUGACACGGGUCUGGAGGCUCACACGCGGGACCCGAGCUCUGGAGGAGUAAAUCAUCCCGACUUUAAAACUACCCUCUACCAGGGCUCCAGUUGGGAAAUCCUUGCAUUGCUCUAAACACAUCCUAGGGGCUCCUGCCCCCCUCAACAUGCCUGGAUCCCUAAGAUCAGUGAGGUUUCCAGACUUCCUCUUUCUUUUUGUCCUGCACGAGAGCGCUUUGCUGGGCGCGCAAAUGUGCGUGUGAGGAGCGGAGAGCAGCGCCGGGAGGGAGAUUGGGACAAUAGCUGGAGUGGAUUAUUCAUUCCCGUAGGGCAAUACUUCCCUGUAUGGGCUUCAGGAUGCAGUUGGAAGCUUGGGAACAAAGCGGGCAUCGAAUGUCAAGGAUCCUUUUGAGGAAGAAAUAGUUCUGCUAGGAGCCCAUGCUUGGACUUUGGAGGCUAUGGCACAGUGGUCUGAUAUGAAAGCACUGUCCCUGCAGAUGGAAACUCUCCUCUGUACCCUGAGC